rnacentral:rRNA from 1 species
GGGGAUGACGUCAAGUCAGCAUGGCCUUUAUGUCCAGGGCUACACACGUGCUACAAUGGGCGAUACAGAGGGAAGCAAGGCCGCAAGGUAGAGCUAAUCCCUAAAGUCGUCCUCAGUUCGGAUUGCAGGCUGCAACUCGCCUGCAUGAAGUCGGAAUCGCUAGUAAUCGCGGAUCAGCUACGCCGCGGUGAAUACGUUCUCGGGCCUU